rnacentral:rRNA from 1 species
AGGAGUUAGAAAAAAACGCGGGUGGACUAGAUUAAAUGGAAUGGAUCAAUAAAACAGUUAUAGUUUAUUUGAUACUUAAUGGAUUCUGUUCCAAAACUAGAGCUAAUACAUGCCAAAGCCUCACGGUUGUAUUUAUUAGAUAUUCCAAUUAGGUGAAUCAUAAUAACUUCGCAAAUCUCGGUUUUGCCGAGAUAAAUCAUCCAAGUUUCUGCCCUAUCACGCUUUCGUUGGUAACGAACGAGACCUUAACCUGCUAACUAGAUUCAUCAGUAUUACUUUUGACACCCCCCCAAGAGGGACUAAAACUGCGAAUGGCUCAUUAAAACAGUUAUAGUGGCAUUUGAUACAACAAAUGGAUAACUGUAGAAAAACUAGAGCUAAUACAUGCUUUAAUCGUAAGAUUGUACUUAUUAGAUAUUCUGAAUUGGUGAAUCAUAAUAAC